rnacentral:lncRNA from 1 species
CACAUUGCCGUAGGUCAUCCAUGUUCAAAGAAGAAGAAAUUUUGCUUUUCUUUCUCCCACCAAAACCAAGCCAAAACCUCACCAAAUCAAUUUCUUCCUUCAACCAAAAUUCAUCCUAAGACCUAGAUCUAAAGGAAGAGCCAUAUAUUGAAGGGAUUGAAGAAGAAAAGUUUAGGGUUCCAUAUACACCAAGCUUGAAAAUCAAAGGUAAGCUUAGAAAUGUGUAGGAAAUAACAUCUUCUCAUUUCUUUAUGCAUGGAUUUGAAUUAUAAAGCUUUAAUUUAUAGUUUAUUCAAUCCUUUCCUAAGACAUAAAUUGACCUAGGUGAAGGAACAUCAAAGGGAAAGGAGAUAGCUAGAGAUUAGAAGAGGAAAAGAAAGGAGAAAUUCAAGAAAGGUUUGGUGUUUGUAUGAUUUCCUGUUUUCUUUUGAUUUUUGCCAUGAACAAGUGAGAUUAGAGGUUGAUUUUACUUGCUGGAAAUGUUGCUUUGGUUGUAUAAAUAUGUUAUAUGAAUGUUUAAAUGAUGUUUUAAAGGCUUAGAGUAAAGAAAUUUAACAUGAGAGCUAAAAGUGCAAAUCUGGCAGAAUAGGUUCUAACAGGACAGUCAGUGUUGGAAGCCUUCUAACUUAUUGUGUAUUUAUUGAAAUUAGUCAUAAGAUAUACCAAAUGAAAGCUGAGACAAAGAGCUAAAACUUUCAUGAAUUGACCAAAUUCGAAAUCUGUAGAGAAGAUGAUGAAAAUUUCAAGUGAACCUAAACUGGACACAGAGUUAGUGCAUCCGGAACAGUGUGUAUUGAUUAUACCAUAACUAACUAUGUACUCAGUGGAAUUGGUUAAUACCAGUGCCAAUUGAAUUUUAAGAAGUAUACCUAACACUUUGUAGGAGACACUUAAGCUUGAAUAUGUAUGAAAAUGCAUGAAUUUGAUAUGUUUUGUGAU